UCCAGUGCCCCUCCGUCAACAUCAGCCAUGGAUACACGUUGAUCCCGUGUCUAACAUGCAGCUAUGUGAAAGACACGAAGAGUUACAAUACGUGAACAUACGUACAUACAUACAGGCAGGCGGCUGGCAGAGGUUAAGGCCUGACUUCUGCUCCCAGUCGACCCAGUCGACCCGGGUUCAAAUCCGCCUGCCGGCUCCUCGGGUGUUUGAGGAGUGAUGAAAUGGGAGGUGGCCCCCCAUCUUAUGGACGGUGUAGGACGUGAUAAUAUCAACUUGCGAGCUGACCAGGAACUAAGUUGAUGCGCCGUUGAUCCGCUAGAUUUGGUUGGAUGCUGGUGGUGAGUUGCCGAACCCAACGAAUACAUUCUGAAGUCGGAUGGGGUGACGGAUUAGGGUGCCCCUCUAGCAGGGGAGAGCAGGGACUGCCCCGGGAAAGGGGGCCGCUGGCGAAGUUAACCACCCUGUAACAACAUACAUACAUAUGUAACAUACGUACAUCUAAUAUAUAUAAUAUGCGCUGUGUUUCGGCUUCGUCCCCCGGCUCUCGCGGCCCACAGUGUAAUCUAAGUCAUAUGUACAUACACACGCACACUCACAUCGAGUGCGGCUCUCAGCUCCCCCUCCAGGCGACCGAUCGACAGACGACUGUACAAUCCCUCUCCGGCCUUUGAGCGAUUGGAGUAGAUGUUGUCCAUCACCUGAAAACCGGGGAGGAAGGGGACACACACAUACAUACAUGCAUACAUGCAUACAUACAUACAUACAUACAUACAUACAUACAGGCAGGCAGGCGGCUGGCAGAGGUUAAGGCCUGACUUCUGCUCCCAGUUGACCCAGUCGACCCGGGUUCAAAUCCGCCUGCCGGCUCCUCGGGUGUUUGAGGAGUGAUGAAAUGGGAGGUGGCCCCCCAUCUUAUGGACGGUGUAGGACGUGAUAAUAUCAACUUGCGAGCUGACCAGGAACUAAGUUGAUGCGCCGUUGAUCCGCUAGAUUUGGUUGGAUGCUGGUGGUGAGUUGCCGAACCCAACGAAUACAUUCUGAAGUCGGAUGGGGUGACGGAUUAGGG
rnacentral:lncRNA from 1 species